GAGCUAUGUAUAAAUGACGACUGUAACAAUGAUUUACACAGGAAUAAGUUUAGAGAUGGUUGCCGAUGCCGACCAGAAGGUCACCCCGGGAGCUGCAGAAGCUGACACUGUGGGGCACUGACUUCAGCUGGAGUAACCUGUAUGGACAUUAACAACAUAGGAGAGCUAUCUUCAAGGUCAAACAAAACAUUAUGCAAGCACCAAUUAAUUUUACCUGACGAGCAUGUUUGUGUCGUUCCAUAUUCGUACGGUGCCAUCGAGACUGCAGGAGGCAUACAGCUUGAGGCGUGAGCAAGCGCUUAUGCCUGUGAUGGACUCAGUGUGGUCAUCUCCCGGCUCAUGGUCGUAACGGUCUGCAGGAAAUGUGUAUUUUUGUAUAUUUGUACAGGUGGAACAUACAGAUAGACUCAAUAUGUUUAAAUAAACUGAAUAAAAACUACUAUUACAAAUAUAUCUGAUAUAUUUAACUUUUAAAAAGUAUUCAUUUUCAAAGCUUGUCCUAUGAAUUAUUUAUGUUUUUGAGCCUUAAAAAAUCUCUAAAAAAAUUGUGGCAUGCUUGAAGUAAAUAAUAAUUACUAAUGCAAAUUAAUUGACAAUGCAUGAACAUAAAUGAAGGUUGAAUAAACACCUUAGCUAAAAUCUGGGGAGUUUAAAUUUGUGUAACAUUUGAAUAUUUUCAUGGAAUUGUUGUACUGUAACAUAUGUAAUGACUAGCAACUAUAUUUGUACCUGUAUGGCCUUGGUUAUACAUUCAACAUGCCUCAGAGGAAAGCAAUACAAUUAAUCAAUUAAUCAAUUAGCUUUGUCAUUAAGAUUCAGAUUAUAUAAGCGUUCAGCACUGAAGACAUACUCAAAUGAAGAGAAAAUACUGAAAAGUUCAUCGAUCAGGUCAAAAUACUUCAAGAAAAUUAGAUGGAAAAUUAAUAUAAC